GAUGAACGCUGGCGGCGUGCCUAAUACAUGCAAGUCGAGCGAACAGACGAGGAGCUUGCUCCUCUGACGUUAGCGGCGGACGGGUGAGUAACACGUGGAUAACCUACCUAUAAGACUGGGAUAACCUCGGGAAACCGGAGCUAAUACCGGAUAAUAUAUUGAACCGCAUGGUUCAAUAGUGAAAGACGGUUUUGCUGUCACUUAUAGAUGGAUCCGCGCCGCAUUAGCUAGUUGGUAAGGUAACGGCUUACCAAGGCAACGAUGCGUGGCCGACCUGAGAGGGUGAUCGGCCACACUGGAACUGAGACACGGUCCAGACUCCUACGGGAGGCAGCAGUAGGGAAUCUUCCGCAAUGGGCGAAAGCCUGACGGAGCAACGCCGCGUGAGUGAUGAAGGUCUUCGGAUCGUAAAACUCUGUUAUUAGGGAAGAACAAAUGUGUAAGUAACUAUGCACGUCUUGACGGUACCUAAUCAGAAAGCCACGGCUAACUACGUG
rnacentral:rRNA from 1 species